CUCAGUUGUACCUCAGUCAGCAUCUAGAGGUGUUGUCCUACGCACUCACACCAAACUGCUCCUUACCAUUCUAGCGAAGUAUAUACAAGGACGAACGCAACGUCUACACGCAGUACACUUGCAGAGUCACGCUAUCGCCGUCGUCACCAGUGAUUAACGGUAUACAUGGCUGCCACCCACACCACCAGCGUAUAGCGAAGAUAAAGAGUUAUCCUCUCGAUCUGGGAAACCUUUCCAUCACUGCAAGCCUGUGCAAUAACAGAAUGGAUCGAAGAAGUGUCGCACUUCUCAUGGUGCUACUGACCUGCAACGCGGCGACCUCCCACGGAGACGGGCAGGAAAAUUGUUUAGAGGAAGUAGGUAGGGACACUGAUUUUUUGCCGUAUAAUUCCCAUGACUUGAUGAACUUGCUGUACAACAUCUGCAGGCCUGUUAAUAAGAAAUGUGAAUGUAAAUCUAUUCAAAACCAGAGAGAACCCAACGUAUCUGCAUAUUGUAAGUGUGUCCCUAUAAUGACUGAGAUCCGUAAAGGUAUCACCUGUGAAAUCAGUCGGAUCAUGAUAUGGAUUCCACGACCCAUACUGUCAGAAAUAUUGAAACAUCAGUGAGCCCAGACGGAAUUCCGGCAUGACUCUGAGGAGUGUUUGUGAUUUCUUUCAAAGAAAAAUCUAUUAUCCCAUUGUAGUGCUAAGUAUGCAAUCCUCAGCAAUCCUUCAGCAAUGCUACACAAAAGAUGAGAAAAUAUACCUUAAGCUAAAAUGCUCAAAUAAAAAAAUGUUUUGUGACUAAUGAACAAAUAAACAGUUUUCUAGACAUGUA